GAUCAAUGAUGAAAAUAGCCAAAUCUGAGCAUCAAAACACCUGCCAGGCUCCCUGAUGCAUGAGAAGUAAAAUUAAUUUA
ensembl:snoRNA